GGGAAACUUGUCUUUGUUGUUCUCCUUUUUCCACUUCAUCCUCCUGUUCUGGAACCAGAUUUUGACCUGCCUCUCUGUCAAGCCCAGGGCGUGCGAGACCUCGAUCCUCCGCUUGCGGGUCAGAAAGCCCGGCUCGCUCAAGCCCCCCAGAAGAAAAGGUCUCCUUCAGGUGUCUUUUCAUGAUCAUUUGCAUCUAUUACCGAAACCUCAUCCUAUUGGCUUCUCCUUACUCCACACGGACUCCGCGCCGCGCGGUUGUGAAAGGAAGAGUGUGGGAGAAUAAAGAAGGAAAAGCGAGCGAGGGGGAGCGAGCGAGGGAGAGGGAGAGGGAGGGAGAGGGGAAGGGAGAAGGAGGUGGGGUGAAUAUACGGAUUAAAUAUGUUUAACUACCUCCAUUAAUGAGGUAUCGCUCGCCUCGCGACAAAUCACGCGCCCGGACCACCCCAAAAGAUUGAUUUUUGGGGAGUGUUGGAAAAUUAAAGAGGAGCGCUCGCAGUCGUUAAUUUCGAAAUUUUAACGAGGCAGUUUUAGCCUUUUUAAAUGUCAGGGUCGCUUUGGAAAACUGUAAAAGAACACGAUUUAAUUGCUACCGGUUUUAAAAGGUCCUAUAAAUGUAAUUGGUAUUUUAAUACAAGUUAUCAAAUCAUACAGCUUCUUAUCCUAAACAUAUUUUAAAACAAACGAGGUAGUCAUAUUUAACAUUUUAAUGAUCAAUUUCCUUAUUAUUGAUAAAGGCUUAACUAUCGCGCGGAGGGAAUUGCGUUUGUAACAGCCCCAAAAAAAAGAGGCUGUAAAGUGUUUAACAAACUAUAAAGCGCCAUAAAGCCGGGGAUGUUGUUGUUGUUUAUGCCGCUCUCCAUAAAAACCGUUCUGGUUUUUACGAGCGCGCCCCUCCGCCGCUGCAAAGCCCGGCGCUGCGCGGCCGCGGCGAGGCGCGGAGCUGUCAAUGUUGAGUUAAAACCGCCGCACUUUUUCGGCUGGAACGUCGACUUCGCGCCGCUCGCCCUCGCUGCCUCCUCCUCCUCCUCCUCUUCCUCCUCCUCCUCCUCCUCAGCCAGGACUCGCUCGGGGGUGACUCCAAACUCCAAACUCCAAAUUUGAGGCUCUGGCGGCCUCCAGAGCAGAGACCCUCCC